rnacentral:rRNA from 1 species
CCUACGGGAGGCAGCAGUGGGGAAUAUUGCACAAUGGGGGGAACCCUGAUGCAGCGACGCCGCGUGGGGGAAGGAGUAUUUCGGUAUGUAAAGCCCUAUCAGCAGGGAAGAACAAUGACGGUACCUGACUAAGAAGCAUCGGCUAAAUACGUGCCAGCAGCCGCGGUAAUCUGUAGGGUGCAAGCGUUAUCCGGAGUUACUGGGUGUAAGGGGAUCGCAGGCGGUGCGUUAAGCCUGCUGUGAAAGCCCGCGGCCCAACCGCGGAACUGCAUUGGAAACUGGCGCGCUGGAGUGCCGGAGGGGUAGGCGGAAUUCCUGGUGUAGCGGUGAAAUGCGUAGAUAUUAGGAGGAACACCAGUGGCGAAGGCGACCUACUGGACGGUGACUGACGCUGAGGCGCGAAAGCGUGGGGAGCAAACAGGAUUAGAUACCCGAGUAGUC